AGAGACAACACUCUUAACAAGAUCAGCACCUCUCCUCUAAAUAUAGCUCUUCAUUCUCCACAUAUCAUUUCUGAGCUUUAUUUCACCACAUUACCCAAUACAAACACAGUCAGAGUGCUGCUGCUAAGAGGCUGAUAUCACAUGGGAAAUCUGAUCCCCGUGGGAACAGAGUGCUGUGACACUCUGUCGAGCUGAGGGCUAAACCAGGCCUCAGGAAUUGACUGGAGGAACCCAGUCGUCAGACAGAAUGUUGAUAGCUCCUCUCCUGUGGAACCAGGUCCCAGUUUGGGUUCAGGAGGCAGACACCAUCUCCACAUUUAAGAGUGGAAUUUGAAUUGUGCUUCCCUUGCUACAUAAGGAGCACACUACUUCCUGCACUGGUAUAGAAUAUUGGCAGUGAAGGCUCCAAGCAUGGUCCAAAGAGGUUUGCGAAAGCAAAUGACAACGCCUGACCCAGUCGGCACAAAUGCAUGACUCCGGUGAACAUACUCGACAUGUGCUCUGGUCUAAUAAUGCAGGUCCUGCAGCAGAGGAGCAUCCCCAGGAAGCCAGGAACACACUAAACUUAAAACCCCAUUAUAACACUUUUCUGCCAUGACAAAGGUUUUCAUCUGGGUACUCAGAUACUGUACUGGGUUAGGGUUUUACAUUCAAAAUCAAUCGUUUCCAGAUUGAGCCUCAGAUAAGUCAGAGCUGUCAUGAUUAGCUACAUAAAACAUGUUUAGCAUAUUUAACUGGAAUUGUCUUUAAACUAUCAUCUCCAAAAGUUAUCUUUCAUAAAGUAUCUGGAUUAGUUUUAGGGUUUUCAACUGUUCACAGCCUAUCAUGAUGCCACUGCCAUAUUUUACCACCAGGGUGG